rnacentral:rRNA from 1 species
AUGCAUGUCUAAGUAUAAGUAUUAUACAGCGAAACUGCGAAUGGCUCAUUAAAACAGUAAUAGUUUAUUUGACAAUCUCACUUAUAUGGAUACCCGUAGUAAUUCUAGAGCUAAUACAUGCUGUACUCCUAACUUUUUGGAAGGGAGGUAUUUAUUAGAUAAUAACCAAUAUUCCGUAGGUCUAUCGUGGUGAAUCAUAAUAACUGAUCGAAUCGCACAGCCUUUGGCUGCGAUAAGUCAUUCAAGUUUCUGCCCCAUCAGCUUUAGAUGGUAGUGUAUUGGACUACCAUGGCGUUCACGGGUAACGGAGGAUUAGGGUUCGAUUCCGGAGAGGGAGCCUGAGAAACGGCUACCACAUCCAAGGAAGGCAGCAGCCGCGUAAAUUACCCAAUCCUGACUCAGGGAGGUAGUGACAAGAAAUAACAAGCGGUGGCCUAGCCACCGAAUUGCAAUGAGCCGAAUUUACACCACUUAGUGAGGACCAAUUGGAGGGCAAGUCUGGUGCCAGCAGCCGCGGUAAUUCCAGCUCCAAUAGCGUAUAUUAAAGUUGUUGCAGUUAAAAAGCUCGUAGUUGGAUUUCUGGCGGGGACCCAAGUACCCCUGGUGGGUGUGCUCGGGCCCGGCCAUCCUUCUGUAAACUUUCGCGCGUCCUUCACCGGUCGGCAAAGGGAUCAGAUAAUUUACCUUGAGAAAAUUAGAGUGUUUCAGGCAGGCUUAGCCGGAAUACAUUAGCAUGGAAUAAUGGAAUAGGACUGAGGUCUCGUUGUUGGUUACGCGGACUACAGUAAUGAUUAAUAGGGACAGUUGGGGGCAUUAGUAUUUAUUAGCUAGAGGUGGAAUUCUCUAAUUUGAUAAAGACUAACUUAUGCGAAAGCAUUUGCCAAGGAUGUUUUCAUU